UACGUAGGUGGCAAGCGUUGUUCGGAUUUAUUGGGCGUAAAGAGCUCGUAGGCGGUUUGUCGCGUCGGCCGUGAAAUCUCCACGCUUAACGUGGAGCGUGCGGUCGAUACGGGCAGACUUGAGUUCGGUAGGGGAGACUGGAAUUCCUGGUGUAGCGGUGAAAUGCGCAGAUAUCAGGAGGAACACCGGUGGCGAAGGCGGGUCUCUGGGCCGAUACUGACGCUGAGGAGCGAAAGCGUGGGGAGCGAACAGG
rnacentral:rRNA from 1 species